rnacentral:rRNA from 1 species
GACGAACGCUGGCGGCGUGCCUAAUACAUGCAAGUCGAGCGAGGGUCUUUAAGACCCUAGCGGCGGACGGGUGAGUAACACGUAGGCAACCUGCCCGUAAGACCGGGAUAACAUAGGGAAACUUAUGCUAAUACCGGAUAGGGCAUUCUCUCGCAUGAGAGAAUGCGGAAAGGUGGCGCAAGCUACCACUUACGGAUGGGCCUGCGGCGCAUUAGCUAGUUGGUGGGGUAACGGCCUACCAAGGCGACGAUGCGUAGCCGACCUGAGAGGGUGACCGGCCACACUGGGACUGAGACACGGCCCAGACACCUACGGGUGGCUG